rnacentral:tRNA from 1 species
AGAGAUUUGGUUCAGUGGUACAGCACCUGCCUGGCAAGCAUGAGGUCCUGAGUUCGAUUCCCAGUACUCCCA